UUUUUUUUUCAAUUUUUG
rnacentral:sRNA from 1 species